UGUCAUGCUUUUACAGUAUGAAAAUUGGUGAUUUAUAAUAACUUAGCAAAUCGCAAAGUGAAAACAGGCGAUAAAUCAUUCAAGUUUCUGACCUAUCAGCUUUCGACGGUAUGGUAUUGGCUUACCGUGGCAGUGACGGUUAACGGGGGAUUAGGGUUCGAUUCCGGAGAGGGAGCCUGAGAAACGGCUACCACAUCUAAGGAAGGCAGCAGGCGCGCAAAUUACCCAAUUCUAACAGUUUGAGAGAGGUAGUAACAAGAAAUAACAAUACAAGGCAGUUAAAAUGCUUUGUAAUUGGAAUGAUAGAAAUUUAAACCCUUUUUAAAGUAUCAAUUGGAGGGCAAGUCUGGUGCCAGCAGCCGCGGUAAUUCCAGCUCCAAUAGCGUAUAUUAAAAUUGUUGCAGUUAAAAAGCUCGUAGUUGAAGUUCUGCUAAAAGUAACCGGUCUGCUUUGAAUAAAAGUGGUAUCUUGGUAUGUAUUUAGCAAUGAUGUCCUUUGAAGUGUUUUUUACUUUAUUGUAAUAAAGCAUAUUCAGGACUUUUACUUUGAGAAAAUUAGAGUGUUUCUAGCAGGCCAACGCUUUGAAUACUGCAGCAUGGAAUAAUAAG
rnacentral:rRNA from 1 species